ACAAACAGGACGUGAUGUCACCAUACAGGAAGUAGAUUGCUAUCUGAAUGUCUCUGAGCUUUAGUCUCUUGGUUCAAGUGUAACAGACAGAUUAAACACUGCUAGUCUAAGACUAACAGGAAGUAGAUGUAGUAGGGUAGUUGGACUGAGGCUGUAAAACAGGACUAACAGGAAGUAGAUGUAUCAGGUAGUUGGACUGAGGCUGUAAAACAUGACUAACAGGAAGUAGAUGUAUCAGGUAGUUGGACUGAGGCUGUAAAACAUGACUAACAGGAAGUAGAUGUAUCAGGUAGUUGGACUGAGGCUGUAAAACAGGACUAACAGGAAGUAGAUGUAUCAGGUAGUUGGACUGAGGCUGUAAAACAUGACUAACAGGAAGUAGAUGUAUCAGGUAGUUGGACUGAGGCUGUAAAACAGGACUAACAGGAAGUAGAUGUAUCAGGUAGUUGGACUGAGGCUGUAAAACAGGACUAACAGGAAGUAGAUGUAUCAGGUAGUUGGACUGAGGCUGUAAAACAUGACUAACAGGAAGUAGAUGUAUCGGGUAGUUGGACUGAGGCUGUAAAACAUGACCAACAGGAAGUAGAUGUAUCAGGUAGUUGGACUGAGGCUGUAAAACAGGACUAACAGGAAGUAGAUGUAUCAGGUAGUUGGACUGAGGCUGACUAACAGGAAGUAGAUGUAUCAGGUAGUUGGACUGAGGCUGUAAAACAUGACUAACAGGAAGUAGAUGUAUCAGGUAGUUGGACUGAGGCUGUAAAACAUGACUAACAGGAAGUAGAUGUACCAGGUAGUUGGACUGAGGCUGACUAACAGGAAGUAGAUG